GCAAGUCGAGCGGAUGACGGGAGCUUGCUCCUUGAUUCAGCGGCGGACGGGUGAGUAAUGCCUAGGAAUCUGCCUGGUAGUGGGGGACAACGUUUCGAAAGGAACGCUAAUACCGCAUACGUCCUACGGGAGAAAGCAGGGGACCUUCGGGCCUUGCGCUAUCAGAUGAGCCUAGGUCGGAUUAGCUAGUUGGUGGGGUAAUGGCUCACCAAGGCGACGAUCCGUAACUGGUCUGAGAGGAUGAUCAGUCACACUGGAACUGAGACACGGUCCAGACUCCUACGGGAGGCAGCAGUGGGGAAUAUUGGACAAUGGGCGAAAGCCUGAUCCAGCCAUGCCGCGUGUGUGAAGAAGGUCUUCGGAUUGUAAAGCACUUUAAGUUGGGAGGAAGGGCAGUAAGCUAAUACCUUGCUGUUUUGACGUUACCGACAGAAUAAGCACCGGCUAACUCUGUG
rnacentral:rRNA from 1 species